rnacentral:rRNA from 1 species
GCCUCAAAUCAGGUAGGACUACCCGCUGAACUUAAGCAUAUCAAUAAGCGGAGGAAAAGAAACUAACAAGGAUUCCCCUAGUAACGGCGAGUGAACCGGGAAGAGCUCAAAUUUGAAAUCUGGCAGUCUUCGAUUGUCCGAGUUGUAAUCUAUAGAAGCGUUUUCCGUGCUGAACUGUGUAUAAGUCCCUUGGAACAGGGUAUCAAAGAGGGUGACAAUCCCGUACUUUACACAAUCAUCAGUGCUCUGUGAUACGUUCUCUACGAGUCGAGUUGUUUGGGAAUGCAGCUCAAAAUGGGUGGUAAAUUCCAUCUAAAGCUAAAUAUUGGCGAGAGACCGAUAGCGAACAAGUACCGUGAGGGAAAGAUGAAAAGCACUUUGGAAAGAGAGUUAAACAGUACGUGAAAUUGUUGAAAGGGAAACGAAAUUCAUGAAUCAUGUUUAUUGGACUCAGCCGUUCUUCGGUGUACUUCCUUUAAACGGGUCAACAUCAGUUUUGUCCGAUGGAUAAAGGUAGUAGGAAGGUGGCUCUCUCGGGAGUGUUAUAGCCUAUUG